AUGUCGCGACCACGAUUCAUUUCGUGGCUUCUUGCGAUUUUGGUGCUGGCAGCGAUGAGUUGGGCCUUGCUAGACGUCUGUCCUGUUUCUACCUUACCAGUAUUUGAAGGUUCUGUAUCAACGCUUGGUUACUCAGAGCGUACACAUUAUUAUAAGGUUUUUUACAAGUGCAAACGAGGAUUUAAACCAAUCAAAGAAAGUGUAAUGGCUGUGGUGUGUCGUAAGGGUGUCUGGCAUCCAAAUAAAGACUUCUGCAAAAGAAUAUAUUGUGGACAGCCUCCAAAUAUUACUGCUGGAUUUCACAAUGGAAAUGCAACCACUUACCCUUUUGGAACAAUAGUACAUUACCGUUGCAAUAAAAAUAUUUCCCUUAUUGGGGCAUCCUUUAUGAUCUGCAGUGCUAAUAAAAAUCUAACAGGACUAUGGAAAGAGAAACCACCCAUAUGCAAAGGUUGA
rnacentral:lncRNA from 1 species